rnacentral:rRNA from 1 species
AACGAACGCUGGCGGCAUGCUUAACACAUGCAAGUCGAACGCAGUAGUAAUACUGAGUGGCGGACGGGUGAGUAACACGUGGGGACUUGCCAAAUGGUGGGGGAUAACUGUGGGAAACUCGGAUUAAUAUCCCAUAACACAGUGAUGCCGCAUGGUAUUAUUGUUAAAGCUCCGGCGGUUGAAGAUGGGCAUGCGUUCGA